AGUGAACGCUGGCGGUAGGCCUAACACAUGCAAGUCGAACGGCAGUACAGGAGAGCUUGCUCUCUGGGUGGCGAGUGGCGGACGGGUGAGGAAUACAUCGGAAUCUACCUUUUCGUGGGGGAUAACGUAGGGAAACUUACGCUAAUACCGCAUACGACCUACGGGUGAAAGUGGGGGACCGCAAGGCCUCACGCGAUUAGAUGAGCCGAUGUCCGAUUAGCUAGUUGGCGGGGUAAUGGCCCACCAAGGCGACGAUCGGUAGCUGGUCUGAGAGGAUGAUCAGCCACACUGGAACUGAGACACGGUCCAGACUCCUACGGGAGGCAGCAGUGGGGAAUAUUGGACAAAGGGCGCAAGCCUGAUCCAGCCAUACCGCGUGGGUGAAGAAGGCCUUCGGGUUGUAAAGCCCUUUUGUUGGGAAAGAAGUCCUGUCGAUUAAUACUCGGUGGGGAUGACGGUACCCAAAGAAUAAGCACCGGCUAACUUCGUG
rnacentral:rRNA from 1 species